rnacentral:rRNA from 1 species
CUGGCGGCGUGCUUAACACAUGCAAGUCGAACGAGAAUCACCGGAAAGAGGAUUCGUCCAAUGGAAGGUGAGGACAGUGGCGGACGGGUGAGUAACGCGUGAGGAACCUGCCUUUCAGAGGGGGACAACAGUUGGAAACGACUGCUAAUACCGCAUAACGCAUCGGAGUCGCAUGGCUCCAAUGCCAAAGAUUUAUCGCUGAAAAGAUGGCCUCGCGUCUGAUUAGCUGGUUGGCGGGGUAACGGCCCACCAAGGCGACGAUCAGUAGCCGGACUGAGAGGUUGAACGGCCACAUUGGGACUGAGAUACGGCCCAGACUCCUACGGGAGGCAGCAGUGGGGAAUAUUGGGCAAUGGGCGCAAGCCCUGACCCAGCAACGCCGCGUGAAGGAAGAAGGCUUUCGGGUUGUAAACUUCUUUUAAGAGGGAAGAGCAGAAGACGGUACCUCUAGAAUAAGCCACGGCUAACUACGUGCCAGCCGCAGC